CCUCGGGUCGCAGCAGUGGGGAAUAUUGCACAAUGGGCGCAAGCCUGAUGCAGCCAUGCCGCGUGUAUGAAGAAGGCCUUCGGGUUGUAAAGUACUUUCAGCGGGGAGGAAGGGAGUAAAGUUAAUACCUUUGCUCAUUGACGUUACCCGCAGAAGAAGCACCGGCUAACUCCGUGCCAGCAGCCGCGGUAAUACGGAGGGUGCAAGCGUUAAUCGGAAUUACUGGGCGUAAAGCGCACGCAGGCGGUUUGUUAAGUCAGAUGUGAAAUCCCCGGGCUCAACCUGGGAACUGCAUCUGAUACUGGCAAGCUUGAGUCUCGUAGAGGGGGGUAGAAUUCCAGGUGUAGCGGUGAAAUGCGUAGAGAUCUGGAGGAAUACCGGUGGCGAAGGCGGCCCCCUGGACGAAGACUGACGCUCAGGUGCGAAAGCGUGGGGAGCAAACAGGAUUAGAUACCCCUGUAGUC
rnacentral:rRNA from 1 species